UACGUAGGGUGCGAGCGUUAAUCGGAAUUACUGGGCGUAAAGCGUGCGCAGGCGGUUCGUUAAGUUCGAUGUGAAAGCCCCGGGCUCAACCUGGGAACUGCAUUGGAAACUGGCGAGCUUGAAUGCGGCAGAGGGGGGUGGAAUUCCGCGUGUAGCAGUGAAAUGCGUAGAGAUGCGGAGGAACACCGAUGGCGAAGGCAGCCCCCUGGGCUAACACUGACGCCCAGGCACGAAAGCGUGGGGAGCAAACAGG
rnacentral:rRNA from 1 species